UUAAUUUAAAUGGCUGCAGAAUUUUAACUGUACUAAGGUAGCAUAAUAAUUUGUUUUUUAAUUAAAAACUAGAAUGAAAGAUUUAAUGAAAUAUAAACUGUUUCAAUUAAUUUUUAUAUUAAAAUUAUUAUUUAAGUAAAAAAACUUAAAUAAUAUUUAUAGACGAUAAGACCCUAUAGAAUUUUAUUUAUUUAUUUUAAUUUAAAAUACAAUAAAUUUUAUUGGGAGAAUAAAAAAAUUAAAUUAAUUUUUUUUUAAAAAUACAUAUUUUAAUGAAUUUUAUUUAUCUUAAUUUUUAAAUUAAAAAAAUUAAUUACCUUAGGGAUAACAGCAUAAUUUUUUUUUAAAGAUCAUAUUAAUAAAAAAGAUUAU
rnacentral:rRNA from 1 species